rnacentral:tRNA from 1 species
CUCCACCACCACCGGAACCGUUGAGCUCCGGUCCA